ensembl:lncRNA
GUGAUGGGGAUGCAAAAAGGACCAGUGAUCUGACGGUCUGCCUCCAUGUGGGCACUGUCCAUCCGUGAGUUUCUGCUCACCGUCUCCAAGCCCCAACCUCUGUUCUUUGCCCUCUGAAUUUCUUCUUUCCACCUGGGCUGUCUUUUGUUCUCUUUCUCCCUGAGGCUAUGACGGUGGCAGGGUGCCCAGCCAGGACAUGGACAUCAGCCAUGGUUCUAGGUUCUCUGCAAGUGUGCGAGUGUGUGUGUAGGGGCUGGGGAUGGGGCUGGAGGUCAUUCACAGAUCAGAGCACAGGAGGCGAGAGAGAGCUUCUGAGGGUAGGACUGCCGGUCCUUCACACCCUACGCCCUGGAGCCCUGAGGACCUGUCACUCGGACCCACCACCAGCCAGAGCAGCAUCAGUCACUGACCAGAGGAGCCCAGAAGCCACAGGAGUGCCCACAUGGCUGGUACAUUGGAGACGCUCUGGAAUAAAUACACCUGGGCCUUUGAAAACGGAGGUCUUCUCUAUAUUAGGAAGGAAGCCAGAGCAGAUCACCUUCCUGCAAGUCUGCCAUGUUCUUCAAUCCAUGGGAUGCAGUCAGAUAUGUGCCACAGAGUCAAGGUAAGUGACACAGAUGCAGACAGCCCUGCCCCAGG